rnacentral:lncRNA from 1 species
GGUGUCUGCUCCAAAAGACUAUGAAGAUAUUUUAUUUUCUGAUAUUUUUGGAUAUAUAUAUAUUAAACUAGUGCGAAUCAUUCAUCAUAGCAAAAUAAUAAUAAUAAUUUGUAGCAGAUGGAUGAGAUAAUAUGUGAGAAAGAGAGUGAAUCCGGGUGGAUUGUCUAUUUUAUAUCAUUUCCUUUUUCAUUUUCAUUAAGUGCAUAAGUAGAUAUCUAAAAACUCGCAUCUUUAACUGCACACCUAAAAGCAAAUGAUAGAUACCCUAUAUUGCUGCUCCUCUC